CAGUAAAGUCACCUGACCCCUUUGAGCCUCUCUUCUACCUUUAACAAGCUAAAGACCAGAUAAUAACCCUAGCUAACUGCUAGGUUGUUCAACUGACUUCAUUGACAAAGCAUCGAUUUUUUGUUUUUGUGUUUUGUGUUUUGGUUUUUCGAGACAGGGUUUCUUUGUGUAACCCUGGUUGUCCUGGAACUUUCUUGGUAGACCAGGCUGCCUUGAACUCACAGAGAUCCUCCUGCCUCUGCCAUCUGAGUGCUGGGACUAAAGGAUUUGUCUGUAGCUUCGGAGCCUGUCCUGGAAAUUGCUCUGUAGAUCAGCCUGGUCUCGAACACAGAGAUCCAACUGCCCCUGCUUCUGGAGUACUGGAAUUAAAGAUGUGUGCCACUAUCGCCUGCCUGGCUUUCAACUGUCUUGAAAGCUCUGUUUCUCUGAAUUUCUUAAAUUUAUUUCUGUGCGCGCAGAAGUUAGUUCCUCUUUCGGCCAUGUGCGUUCUAGGGUUUGAACUCGGGUCAAGUUUGGCGACAAGCCCCUUUACCUGCUGAGCUGUCUUGCUCACUCAGUGCCUGUGUCUGCGUUCCCCCACGGCUGGCCGACUCUCCUUCUGGCAGUCCACCUCGCCCUCUAGUGGCCUCAGAGGGAACCGUAACACCGGGAUCUAUGGACGUUGUAACCUGUGUGAACCAAGUCUGGC
rnacentral:lncRNA from 1 species